UACGGAGGGGGGCUAGCGUUGUUCGGAAUUACUGGGCGUAAAGCGCACGUAGGCGGCUUUGUAAGUUAGAGGUGAAAGCCCGGAGCUCAACUCCGGAAUUGCCUUUAAGACUGCAUCGCUCGAAUCAUGGAGAGGUGAGUGGAAUUCCGAGUGUAGAGGUGAAAUUCGUAGAUCUACGAAGGAACGCCGAAAAGCGAAAGGCAAGCUCUCUGGGUCCCUACCGACGGCCUGGGGUGCGAAAGCAUGGGGAGCG
rnacentral:rRNA from 1 species